rnacentral:tRNA from 1 species
GCGGCGGUAGUUCAGUUGGUAGAACGUCUCGUUGCCAACGAGAAGGUCGCCGGUUCGAGCCCGGUUCGCCGCUCCA